GACAAGUCUAGCAAAGAAUGAACAGAUUGAACAGUUAUUUACACUCACAGAGUUAUAUAUCAUCACAGUGAUGUCAUAAGUUGAAAAAUUUACUGGGCAUGCAAUAACCCGUAAAAAUCUUCAAACAUUUUGUCCUGAUUUAGUUCAUGAGGAAAGACUUGUUCUUACUUGACGAGACCUUCUUGAGAGCAGAAUUAAUGUCAGGUCCGAAUAAGUCUUCCUUUAUUAGCUUUGUUAAUCUCUUCGACAAUAAGAAGCUAGAUUCUCUUUCGAAAGACGCGUUUCCUGUUCGGCAGAUUUUGUUGUGCUCGAAGGUAUUAAGUAAGCAGCAUCACGAUUCUGUGAGUUUGUGUGUUUCGUCAAGCUAGCCUCCCGUUUUGACUUGCAGAUUGGGGGGAAGGGAAACAAUC